rnacentral:tRNA from 1 species
GGAAGUGUGCGAGAGCGGCCGAAUCGGGCAGUCUCGAAAACUGCUGUGUCUACGGGCACCGUGGGUUCAAAUCCCACCGCUUCCGCCA